UACGUAGGGUGCAAGCGUUGUCCGGAAUCAUUGGGCGUAAAGCGCGCGUAGGUGGCUUCGUCAGUCCGUUGUGAAAGUCAAAGGCUCAACCUUUGAAUGCCGAUGGAUACUGCGAAGCUAGAGUACGGAAGAGGCGAGUGGAAUUCCUGGUGUAGCGGUGGAAUGCGCAGAUAUCAGGAGGAACACCAAAGGCGAAGGCAGUGUCCUGGGGAGUACCUGACGCUCAGGUGCGAAAGCCAGGGGAGCGAACGGG
rnacentral:rRNA from 1 species